UACGUAGGGCGCAAGCGUUGUCCGGAAUCAUUGGGCGUAAAGCGCGCGUAGGUGGCCUCAUAAGUCCGCUGUGAAAGUCAAAGGCUCAACCUUUGAAAGCCGGUGGAUACUGUGAGGCUAGAGUACGGAAGAGGCGAGUGGAAUUCCUGGUGUAGCGGUGAAAUGCGCAGAUAUCAGGAGGAACACCGGUGGCGAAGGCGGGUCUCUGGGCCGAUACUGACGCUGAGGAGCGAAAGCGUGGGGAGCGAACAGG
rnacentral:rRNA from 1 species